CCUACGCGUGGCAGCAGUGAGGAAUAUUAGUCAAUGGGCGGGAGCCUGAACCAGCCAAGCCGCGUGAGGGAAGAAGGUACAGCGUAUCGUAAACCUCUUUUGUCAGGGAACAAAGGCGGGGACUAGUCCCCGGAUGAGUGGACCUGAAGAAAAAGCAUAGGCUAACUCCGUGCCAGCAGCCGCGGUAAAACGGAGGAUGCGAGCGUUAUCCGGUUUUAUUGGGUUUAAAGGGUGCGCAGGCGGCCUGUUAAGUCAGCGGUAAAAGCCCGGGGCGAAACCCCGGCGAGCCGUGGAAACUGGAGGGCGGGAGUUGGAGAGAAGUAAGCGGAAUGCGCGGUGUAGCGGUGAAAUGCUUAGAUAUCGCGCAGAACCCCGAUUGCGAAGGCAGCGUACCGGCUCCACACUGACGCUGAGGCACGAAAGCGUGGGUAUCGAACAGGAUUAGAUACCCCAGUAGUC
rnacentral:rRNA from 1 species